AGGGACUUUUGGGGGCAGGUAUGU
rnacentral:miRNA from 17 species